rnacentral:rRNA from 1 species
GGGAUGACACAGUAGGAUAAGCUAAGAACACUGUUGGUUAUGUGUGCCCAAGCAUUGAGGCAGUCGAAGUAGGCAAAUCCGCUUUGAUAAUGCUGGGAUGUGAUGGGGAGCGAAAUUUAGUAGCGAAGUAGCUGAUUUCACACUGUCAAGAAAAGUCUCUAUCGAGGUUAAAGGUACCCGUACCGCAAACCGACGCAGGUGGGUGAGGAGAGUAUCCUAAGGCCAGCGAGAGAACUGUUGUUAAGGAACUCGGCAAAAUGACCCCGUAACUUAGGGAUAAGGGGUGCCACCAUCAGGUGGCCGCAGAGAAUAGGCCCAAGCGACUGUUUACCAAAAACAUAGGUUUCUGCUAAGUCGCAAGACGAUGUAUAGGAGCUGACGCCUGCCCGGUGCUGGAAGGUUAAGGGGAUCUGUUAGAG